rnacentral:tRNA from 1 species
GCCUUCGUGGUGUAGUAGUCAGCACCCUCGACUCGUAUUCGAGAGGUCAGUGGUUCGAAUCCCGUCGAGGGCA